CCCGGAGGCGCCGCUCCAUCACCUGCGGGCAGCGGCAGCCCCUGCAGAGCGGCGGCACCCCGUCUGAGGCCUGCAGCAGCGGGGCCGCGUGGGCUCCUCGUAAACCCCUAAGUGAACCCGUGGGUCUCCGUGUCUUUGCCCUGUGCCUCUGCCCCCGCCCAAAGAAGCCUCGCUGUUUUUAUGGGGUGAUCUGUCUGCCCGUGGCAGACUGCAGCUGCGGUGUCCCUGAGCGCCGCCCUCCCCACCGGCUCUGGGCCUGCUUUGGACGCGAGGGUAACGCACACAGCAGCGGCUCUUUGCGGUUGAACGGUAUUAAAGGGACUGAUCGAGGUGGAUGCAGUGGUCCCCGUCAGAUGUGUGCCAAAUUGAAAUGCCAGCAGCUGUGUGAGCAGCGGGAUAAUCAUAUCUGCUGCUUCUCUCUUCCAAGUCCUGGCAUUCCCAUUUCAGCAAUGGUGUGUCCGUGCUCAGCUCCGCGGGAGGAAAUCCAUUGACCGAAGCCAUGCUGACGCCUGGGGGAUGCGGUUACAUGUUCAUCAGUCACCUGUCUGACUGUGGACCCACUGGGAUGCAGAGCAAUAGGAGAGCAAUGGACUGUCCUCAAAGAGGGCCAUGAGCUGCACUGCCAGUGGGGAAGAACUGCUUCUGCUCAUCCGGGUAAUGUCGCUGUGUUGGCUGAAAAGUCUCCACUUGGUCCUGAGCGGUGCCACCUGCAGAUCCCUGCACCCACUGGCUUUGCAGAAAGGAUUACCAUCUGCUGACUUGUUGGUCUACCAAAGACUGAUGCUCUCCAAGACUACAGGUGACCCUGACCAGGAUUAUCUCACUGAAGAACAAAAUAAAAAGGUGUCGUAUGUGGUUUCAUGGCAGCAGGGAGGUGACAGCACACAUGGGCUGAGAAGCAGAAAUCCCCUUCAACAGCAGAGACUAUCUCUGCCAGCAGGUAGAGAAGAGGUUGUUUGUCUGAAGAAAGAAGGGUGUGGUGGAAAUACUUCAUGCCAGUCAAGUCAACCAAAAUACUACCUGAGUUACAAAGCAUGCUGGAAAACAAAAUUAAACAGAAGAUCUGGGCCCCACCUGUGCUCUCCCAGGAGCGACUGAGAGAAAAGGAGUUCUGGGAGCUGGGAACACACAGCUCCCUGCAGCAGCUGCACUAUGGAAUUCACCCUGGAUGAAUGGGAAUGCCAAUGUCUUCACCUCCUGAAGAGAGGACAGAGCUCUCAGACUGAAUUAGCCACAGCUGGAUAGGUUGUUUUGAAAUCUCCACAAUUUUCAGACCUGGAAGAUUUUUCCAUCAUGCUGGUCUGGGGUAGGCAUUUGGUGGGUGAGUAAACUAUAAUUUGGUUUGUUUUGCCUUAUGAAGUAAGUGUAGAAAAUACACCAAAGUAGCUGGUCACAUAUUUGGACCUGGGCUUCUCACGAAAGUUCUGCAAAACCCUCUCAAAUGUCUGAAUAUUUACUAAGUAGGUCACGAAAUAUUUUCCAACAACAAAAAUACAAAUACAAAAAUACAAUAGAGUAAUCCUAUUGGGAUGUAGUUAUGUGCUAAUGACUUUAUUUUCUUCUUCCUCCUGUUCAGGCAGUAACAUGCAAAGUGACCACAGCACUGUUGUGAAAUUGCUGAUUAACCUUUUGACUCUGACAAUUGGGACUUCUCUUAACACCAAUUGGUAAUGCAAAAGACCAUUAGUAGUUAAUAUUGGGACACCCCACCUCCAGAUGCCAAAAGGUUAAUGAAAAAGCAAGUAUCUUGCUUUUACUGGGAAACUUGGAAACCUUCCCACCAAACAUUUCAUUUUUUGUGAUAAACAAGCCAGACCGCUUCAGCUGAGAAAGACGGGUGUUUUGCUAAUGUGUACAGCUGUUAAUUGAAAAAGAUUCUGUUAUGCCUGUUCUUCUGGACAUAGAUAAAAGAGAGAUUUGUUGGUGAACUUUAGUUGGUCCUGAACACCCCUUUGUCAAAAUACACUGCUCAAUAAUAACGCUUUGUUCUGUCUGUAACAGCCACGGAAGGAUUUUGAGUGGAAUACUCAUUUUCUUUAAGUCAUAUCUGCCAGUGAUCAUUCUUGGCUUAAGAUCAGCUGCCAUUUAUGUGUUUUAUGAAAAUAUAACACCAGUUUUAUGCUCAAAACUAUUCUUUUUUAGGUAAAAGCUUCAGCACAAACUGGUUCCCCAUAUGUACCAUAAAUGCUAUUUAUCACAGGUUUUGGUCUUUAAAACAGAAUGAUAAUGUUAAAACAUUUUCAUUACCCUUUCCUUACAGCUAUCAUUCACAAACCAUCUUUUAUAAUUAUGGUACUAGGACAUUUACAUAACUGGGAAAAAGGUCCUUAAACUACAUUUCUAUUAUGUUUGGCACUUGUGUGAAAGGAUAUUAUAUUCAUGUGCAUUAGAGAUUGCUUAUAAAAGAUCAAGACAAUAAUAGCAGAUCAGACGAUAAAGGUUCCCUUUUCUCCUCCCAGACAGGCUGUCUCUGACAGAAGAAUACAGUUCAUCAAAAGUGUCUGCAGGUUGUCAAACUCAGUGAGAUUUGGGGACACUCGGAGGCUGUCAUGGCCAACAAGAAGAUUUUCUGUAGGGUUCUGCCAUCAUUCACCCUCAGGAAAUAAUCACUCACUACAUCCUGCAUGCUCUCAUGAUAGAGCUCUAUUUGAGAGAAAAGAGCCAUUUUAUCAAAGGACAAUAUAUCCCUUCUCUUGGUCCAUGCAGCUUCCAUUAUCAGACCAUAAUAAAUCAUAUUUAUGUUCUCAGUUAAUAAGACUGAUUACAAUGCAGGUUACAGGCAUGGGAAAAGCAAAGCAGGUGAAAAGAUGUUUUAAUGAAAAUAUGAUAAGCAAACAGCUUCUUGUGAACAUUUCAGGCUGUUAUUUGUAAUGAUCACAGGCAAUUUUUGAUACAUCUUCUUUAGCAAUGGUUUAAGCUGCAUAAAUUGGCUUGCCACUUUAUACGUCGAAAUAGGAAGAAUCCCAGUGUCCUUCUUAUGUUGUCUAGAAUCAUUAUAUACAUUAUAAGCAUAAAAUGAGUUUAAUGUAUGUGCUUUGAAAAGAUGGGGAAAACAGAAAAUCAGGGAGGACUGAUUUUAAUGCUGCUCAAAAUGAUUUUGAAAUUUUCUGCACAUCUUUGUUACUAACGGUGCAUUUUCCAUGAAAUUUAGGGAUGACAUGUGGUGCUUUCAUCUCCUUAAAAUUAAUAUACUUCUCUUUCUGUUUUUCUCAGUUUCUUCAAAGUUCUUUUUAGAACACUGUGCAAAGAGACAGAGAGAAAAUUCUCCACUCGAUGUGUGAACAUAUCUGUUAUUAAUGCUGGGGGGGAGUUAAGUGUGUGCUUCUAGAGGAGAAUAUACCCCUGCGUUAAACACUGAAAUCAACCCUAUCAAAAAGGUGCAAGGAUAUUUAGCUGCAGCACACCUGAUGCAUUCAAGGGCCAAAUUCCUUAGAAUCUUUUAAAGUGAUCAAGAUCUCUUUUGUUAAGAGCGCUCCAAUGAUUUCAGAAUAUAACUGUACUUAAGUAGCCGAGGAAGUGUCUUGCUCUUGUCUCGUGAAAAGCUUUCUUUUAUGUUUUAUUGUUGUUUUCUUUUUUUGCUGUAGUCAUUUGGUUUAUGUUUAGCAUCAUACUUUCAAGACAAAGUUAAAAAUUUAAAGAAUAAUUUCUUCCUGCUAGCACAUAAUGCUGACUAAGUAUUUCAAAAUCUACAGCACUUGCAGAAUGCAAGCAUUAUGCUUAUAAUGUAUAUAAUGAUUCCAGACAAUAUGAGAAGGACACUGGGAUUCUUCCUACUUUGAUAUAUAAAGUGGUGAGCAAACGCAGAAGUCUCCAUGGUGUUGUGUGUCUGCGGGAGCUGUUCUGGUCACUGAUACUUCUAAAGCUCCCUUAAACAAAUGUUAAAGCUUUGUAAUGGGCCUGGCAAUGGAGAAUGGCCAUGAAAUUCCCUUAACCCUUUUAGGGCACUUCAGCAGGAGAAGUGAUCACACAAGAAACAGUAAACUGCGCUUCAAAGGCAGCAUCCUGAUAUGACAACAGAUGUAGAUAAUGCACUUCAUGAUGAAACUGCUUGAUACAGAGAAAAACACGUUGUAACUGCCUUCACCCUGAAAGGGGUUUAAAAAUGCUGCCUGCCAACUCCACAAAAAACAGAGCUGCUAUUUCAGUUAAAGGCCGGUGGAUUGUAUUUUUCGUGUCAGUUUUCACUAACCUCAAACAUCACUGUUAUGACAGACUGUCAUCCAACCAAACCAGCACUGUGGUGCCAUUCAGGCAAGAAAGAAGAAAGCAAACACAAAGGAAACUUAGAAGUCCGAGCAGUAAGAGCGGGUGUCUGUGAGUGCACUUUUGUGCAGCGAUACUGAUUACUGAAAAUGAAACACUUAAAAGAAAACAAACCCAAAAAAGUGAUUUCUGAGCCAUUGGUGUUUUCUUGCCUGGCAAUUUCUCUUUGUUCUGUUUCAUGACAUCAGCCUCAGUGGUUGAAAGGGUGUUCUGGGCCAGAUGUCAAUCACUAUGUCUGACAUAAACAAAAAUAGCUAAAAAGACAUGCCAGCAUCUUCCUUUUGUUUUCCCAUUAGCUCCAUUUUUCUUUUCAGAGGCUGACAAAAAAUUACUGCCUCCGAGUGAAUUCAGUAAUGUCACUAUAUAUCUAAUAUCUAGGAGACCUUUUGUUUUAGCUUUACUGGGCUUAACCACAAAAGACACUUGACAUUGACAAAGAGUCUGUCAAAUACACAAUGAUCAGUGCAGUGAAAUCUCUCAUGACAGAAGGGCACUAUUCUGCACCCCCAGCCUGCAGCAGCCUAUCUGAGUAAAAUGUGCUGGAGCACACGCAGCAGCUGAACCAUUGCAGAGCAGGCCAUAAGCUGAGAUGUGUCUUGUUUAAAGUGUCAUAGUAUAUUAGUGUAAUUAAAACCGCCAAAAGAAUAGAAAAGAUAGAUGGAAAUGUUACAUUACUUGUUUCUAGAGAUUAACCUCCAGCCAGAACUGAAAUACAGAGACACAUUUUGCAUGUCUUAGAGCUCUGAUAUGGAAGAAAACAAGCCUGAGUGUAUGUCUCUUGAAGUGUGAGACAUGAAGUCAUAGUUCCUGUAUUUACACAAUAAAGCAGAAACAGCGCUUCAGACAGGCACGCUGUUUUCUCUCUGAUUACAGCUCCCGUUGUGGCUGUACUCUGCAAAGCAGCUGUAUCAUCUCUCAGCUACUUCCCUUUUACUCUCACUGCCUUCGUGCUUGGAAGGUCUUGAGACCCUUGGGCCCACAGAUGUGCUGGUGUCAAUGCCUUCUGCUCCCUCGGCAUCUGCCAGCGUUGCGUGGGCCCAGCCUAGAGGCAGAGCACCCUGUCCCUAUGGUGUCUGCAGAAGACACAGCUCAGCUCCAGACUCAGCAACACCCAGCUAGGAAGAUGUUUGAAGAAUGGCUUCAGUCUGACCUUUAUAUACCAGGCUGCAUGCUUGCUUCUCUGUUGAGUCUAUAGAUAAAACUGCAUGGCUUUCUGAAAUUGACUCUGAAAAUUAUGUUCCCAGAACUGCAUGUUUUCCUUCCCAUGCUUCAUUACCUCUGAUAACUAUUCAAGCCUAACUAGUUACGAUCUCUGUUCUAACCAUGAGGCAAGUUAUAUCUGGUGGUGAAAAACCCUUGGAGUUUUUAUGGACCUGUUCAGCUGUGUUGGCUGAACGUUGGUUUAUCCAGUAUCUGGAGAGGACCUCAUCUGGCUUCAGCAGUUCUGAAGCAUACAAAAGCAGCGUGGUUUUCUUCUAAUGUAAGCCUUACAUUCAAGGAGAAGAUGCAUUAAUCAGGUAGGUCUCAUGUUCAUUUCUUCCACUAGAAAUGAACUUCAAGGCCUUGCCCCAUUAGUUGAUCACUUUGACGUCAAGAGAUGUUAAAUAUAGGCCUUACAUUUUAGGUUUCCUCAUACUUCCUCUAUUUCCCAUCUUUAAAUAUCAGUUAAUGACUUCUCCAUAUAGCACUUCUCUUUAAUUUCUGGUCAGAGGCUGUAAAUGUGCACCGUUAGUCAAAAAUAUGUUAUCUGCUGUUAGUGUUGGCUUCUGGAGCCCUCACCACCAAGUUACCUCGCAGUCGCAUCUCUCCUCACAUGAUUUUCUGAGUACUGCCAGGAGAAGAAUGGAAAAUAACUAUGAAAUAAAAGCAGAUUCUGCUCCCAUUACAGGCAAUGAAAACUGUGCUUUUACUUCUACUUACUCAUAAUAGUGGGGGGAAAAAAUGAAGUGGAAACAAGCACAACAAAACACCUCUGCCAGCUAUCUAUAAGCUAACCAAGGCUUCCACUAAUGAGGUGGUCUGGCAUUUUGAGAAAGACAGGUUUUUCCAGAAAUGGAAAAAAUAUGCUGUUUUUUUUUUCCUUCAACUCUGAGAGCAUAGCAAGAGAGUAAGAAAUUGUAUUUCAAAAAGGGAUAGCAAACUUUUAAUGCUGUCUGUAUUAGUUAAUACUUACAGACACCGGUACAGUUUCUUGUCAGCUAGAUGUUUUUGCAUAUUUGUUUGUUAGAUUACUAAAUACUUUCCUAAAAAGUGGUUAUUUGCUGUAUUUACAGAUUCAUCUCAGUGACUGUGAAAUUCCUGAGGAUGUUAUUACUUUCAAGUCAGAUUAACGGAGUAAUUUCCAGACAACCAUGCUACCAGAAUACAUGAUACUACUCCUAAAGUGGACCUCAAAAACUUUGAGAAAGAAAAUGAUUCCAUCUUUUUUGAUCAGGUUCUUCCUCUACAGGAGUUCCUGCAGCUACAGGACCAGGAGAUGUCCGAGGUCAAGAAAAGGUUAAAGUUGUUCACUGCUUUCAAGCUCUGGCCUUAGAAGUUAAUUCAGUGCUGUGCUGCGAGAGCUACAGAGUAAAUCCUUGGAACAGUGAAUUGCUGGUUUGAUAUCAAGCUCACGUCAACAUUUCUAUCAGAAAGAAUCACCAUAAUCACCAGAUAUAUUAGCAGAAACUGCUCCUUCCCAUUGACCACAUACGCCAAAAUCCUUGGAAACUCUUAAGCCGUGGACUUCCCCUGAAGACAUACAGAGAAAAUGGCUCAAGCGAACACUCCUCCAUUCCUUCAGUGGAGCCCAGGUCAGCUGUGACAAGCAUCUGCUCUGUGGGUAGGUGCAAAAUACACGACAAAGAUAUCGGCCGUGGAUCCCUUCUGUAAACGAUGACCUCAUCCGGAGGUUAUGGGACCUUCACGAGGAUACCAGUCGUACUCCUCCAUGGCGAUGUGUUACAGUGAGUAACUCGCUUCCUGGAUGCACUUGUAACAGGCAGAUAUCCUAACAACACAGGAUACGCAGACAUGUCCAGGUCUUUAAAAAGUCUUCCAAUGCAAUUAUUAAGGUAUUACGUGCUGAUAAUGCCACCAAAAACAUUGAGCAUGCUGUUCAUUCAGUUGGGCAUGAAACUACUUCCUUCUGAAUAUUUUAAAUGUACUUGGCUAAUUAAUUAAACAAUUAAUAAGGGCUACAGUUAAGUUUCUGUUUUUCAUUGUAACAAAUUAUUCCAGAGCAUUGUUUUUACUGAAUUCUGCAUAGGACUCUUUUUGGACACCACACCGAAGUGCAGCUACGAUGUUAAAAGAAAAAUGUUCCUUUGACAAAUGAAAUCUUUAAAAUGGCAACAAGCAAGGAAAAAGUCAGCUCUGAGUGGAAAACAUUUAAUAUGUUUUGAUGAUUUCUUAUCUCAGACAGAAGAGAAGACAAGUUGAUUUUCUCUGCUGAAACUUUUUGAAGUGAGUUCUGACUGAAAAGAUGUGGUGGUGUUUUAACAAAAACAUAUUGUUAUAAAACAUGAUGUAUGCUCAGAAGUAUUAAUGUGUACCUCUCUGCUUCAGGUUUGAACAUUUCAGUCGAGUGAACUAGCCUGUUCCAUUUAUUUUUUAAAUUCUUAUCCAGUUGAUCUUUUUUUUUUGUUGUUCUUUAAGUUUACAGUAGUUCAAUGGCUACUUUUAUCUCUGAUUUAGGCUUUCAAACAGCACCAAACUCUGCCGUCCCAUCCUGUAAUCUGUCCAUUUAUUAUGGUGACUGGUGAACAGAGGCAACAUGUUAGUGCAAGCACUGUAAAAAUAUCUGUGGAGAAAACAUUCUUUCACUCUAAAGGAUAAGUUCCAUAAGAAUGUAUAUUCUCCAGUAUUUGCAAAAGUACGGUACGGAUUUUUCUUGUUAAAGGUGGCAAUGUCUGAAUCGCAAAUAAUUUCACGUUUAUAUGAGAGACAAUAUAUCAUUUUACAGAUCUGUAAUCAUGGAAAUCAAUGGCCAGUAUCCAUUUAAGAAAAUCGAAAUAAUUUAACUGAUUUACUUAAACAAUGCCUUGUUAGACUACGGAAUUUAAAGUCCUCUUUCAAAAUGAAGGUUGUUUUAAGUAGCGAACUUAUUAUUACAUACUACAUUCUAGUGGCACGUAAACACUUCUGAUUUAAAACAUGAAUUCCGUGUAAGUUCAAACUGAUGUCUUUGACUUUAGUUACAGAACUCAAUUUCAGGACUUUCUGCUGCUGGUGGCUGUAUAUCAGUUCUUCCAAUAGGGAUGUGCUCAGGACAAAUUAGUGAACGUAAUUUUAGCUGUAUGAGGUCAUUACAAAUACAGCCUUAGCUCUUCCUAGAGUGGACUUCAUUGUUAAUAUAAAUAUAUAUCUAUAGUUACUGACAUUUAUAUUAUUUGGCUCCUGUCCUAAGUUAUGGAUACAGUGAUGAUAAAAGCCCUUACCUAAGUGAGUCAUGCUUACUAAUUACUUCCAUGGUACUGGGUUCCUGUAAAUAAAGUUACUCAUGUAUUUAUAAGCAAGUCAAAAUUUAUACAUAUGUUUCUAAGAGUGAGUUAUCUUUCUCUCUGGGGCAAACAGCACAGUCUGCUGUUUGGAAAAGAAUGCUGAGAGUAAGGACAUCCAGGGUGCUUCCUCGCUUCUGCAAGGGUGCGUGCUCUCCUCUGCCAUUGGAUAUCCAACUAAAAUACUUAAUUUGGUCACAUUUUUUAAACUGUUUAAGACCCUUCUGCAUUACUUCAAGGUAGGAAAUGGCUGUUGAUUUUUCCUCGCUGUUUCCAAAGAGGCUGCGGUAAGAGGGUUUCAGUCUAAUUGUUUGCUCUAAAGAUGUAGCGUUCAAGACACAAAGCCUAGCAGUGUGACGUGGAAGAUAUCAAGACAAAGCAGCAGCCUCAACAUCUCUCUCUAAUGAGAACAGGAAAAGACAAUUGAGAUCCCGUAGGAAUGCAGUAUAUUUAGGAGAGAAGCAGAGCUCCUUUCACGAAUGGAGAGAGAACCCUGGUGAAUGCUGGACUACCUGCUAUCUCUGGGUGUGACUAGGUGAGUGAAGGAUUUGGAUCACAGCCUGUAACGUUUUCCAGACAUUUAGAGUGCAACUACUACAACUACUACGCCAGCAAUUUUAUGCCUUCCUUUCCCUGACUCCAACAGUAUGCGAGAUAAGCAGCCAGAUUUUCUUCUGCAUUGUGUUUUUUUAUCCAUUCAGCCAAAAUUAACAGUCUUCAAGGAUAAUGUAUGCCAAGCGAAUUUAAAUCUUGCGGACUCAAAUCGACCUAAAGUUGAUGGAUACAUUCAUGCCUACUGCUGAAAUCUACCAAUUACACAGAACUAUGCUAACUUACCAUAGAAACAUCUCAUCUAAUAGCACAGAUGAUGUUGAACUAACUAAUUACAUUAUGGCACAUAGACAAUGAAAAACAUAACGAAGAUGACAGCACAGCAACAACAGAUGCUGCACAAAAGAAAAAUUAGAAAAAUAUUGCUCUGCAAAAUGCUGUCUGUUAAGGUUUCUUCUGUUAAAAUUAAUCACAAAAAUUAGUGAAGAUUAGAUUUCAGCAGAAGAUACGAGCAUUGUAAUGCUAUUUGGAAAACGUCAUUAAACCAUUUAAAGUCCUACUCUUUCAGAAGGUAAUUCCCCCUUUUUUUUUUGUAUCACUGUCGGCUUUAAGAUGAGUAAACAGUUCAGUGCCGAUGGCAGAGUUUCUUGGGAGGAUGUCUUUCCCAGUGAGGAGAGGUCCCGAUGGCUCUUCCAGAGCCGUGUUUGGUAGCUUCCAGCCAUUAGAGCUUAGAUAAUUAGGCAACUCAGAUUUUAUUUUAGCUUGGCAUUUGCUCUGUUCUGUGCUCUUGGCUGUCAGUGACAGUUGAUUAUCUGUAGCGUGCCUUGUUACUUUAUAUAUUUUAAACUGUAACAGAUCCUAAAUACCAAAUCUGAAACUGCUGAGUAUGUUUAAAUGUAAUAUAUACAUGGGGAUUACAUCCAGAUGAUGUACUUCAUAGACCUGUGAUAAAAAAAAAUGCAUCACUUCUAGCCCACGCCGGUCCUCACCCCCUCCCCCGGUAGCUUUCCAUGAGCUCCCGGCUGCUUCAGCACCGAUCCUGAACGUAAUCCAGCUGAUGGAGAGAGACAGAAAGGGGCUUUUCCCCUAAAUAUAUAUUUCCUCUAAAAAUACCUCUGAUGCUGCUCAAGUUUCAAUACCUUACUGGCUUUAUAAGAAAGCAAAACAUAUAUUUGAUAUCCUGUUUCUCCCAGUUUAUUUUUCAGCUGGACUUUUCUUUCUCUUCAGCUGUUGUGCGGUUCCCUGGCUCCCUGCUGCUCGUCCGGCGGCGGCCGGGGUGCAGGCACGGCGGAGGCCCACAGGUGGCGGUGUAGUUCAAGCACACCUGGGCUGUGAUUGCAGAGCCGCGCUGCCGGCCGGCCUGCCGGGGAAGAUACUCUGCUUCUCCUGCCUGCAAGGAAAUACUCCCGGCUGAAGUUCCGCGCACCCGUGCCGCCGCGCCCCAGCCUUCAGCAGGGGCAGAAACGUUCUGUUGACCCUGCAACAGCGGCCGCGCACGAAGGUG
ensembl:lncRNA